GACAGAGGCCCCAAGCGUUAGGCGGAAUCACUGGGCUUAAAGCGUGUGUAGGCGGAUCGUUAAGUGUCUUGUGAAAUCCCACGGCUCACCCGUGGAACGGCUGGGCAUACUGGCGAUCUUGGGCCAACUAGGGGCAGUCGGAACAAGCGGUGGAGCGGUGAAAUGCGUAGAUAUCGCUUGGAACGCCGAAGGUGAAAACAGACUGCUGGGGUGCGCCGACGCUGAGACACGAAAGCCAGGGGAGCAAA
rnacentral:rRNA from 1 species